UUCUGGUUGAUCCUGCCGGACCUGACUGCUAUCGGAUUGAUACUAAGCCAUGCGAGUCAUUGUAGCAAUACAAGGCAUACGGCUCAGUAACGCGUAGUCAACCUAACCUAUGGACGGGAAUAACCUCGGGAAACUGAGAAUAAUGCCCGAUAGAACAUUAUACCUGGAAUGGUUUAUGUUCCAAAUGAUUUAUCGCCGUAGGAUGGGACUGCGGCCUAUCAGUUUGUUGGUGAGGUAAUGGCCCACCAAGACUAUUACAGGUACGGGCUCUGAGAGGAGUAGCCCGGAGAUGGGUACUGAGACACGGACCCAGGCCCUAUGGGGCGCAGCAGGCGAGAAAACUUUGCAAUGUGCGAAAGCACGACAAGGUUAAUCCGAGUGAUUUCUGCUAAAGAAAUCUUUUGUUAGUCCUAGAAACACUAACGAAUAAGGGGUGGGCAAGUUCUGGUGUCAGCCGCCGCGGUAAAACCAGCACCUCAAGUGGUCAGGAUGAUUAUUGGGCCUAAAGCAUCCGUAGCCGGCUCUGUAAGUUUUCGGUUAAAUCUGUACGCUUAACGUACAGGCCGCCGGGAAUACUGCAAAGCUAGGGAGUGGGAGAAGUAGACGGUACUCGGUAGGAAGUGGUAAAAUGCUUUGAUCUAUCGAUGACCACCUGUGGCGAGGGCGGUCUACUAGAACACGUCCGACGGUGAGGGAUGAAAGCUGGGGGAGCAAACCGGAUUAGAUACCCGGGUAGUCCCAGCUGUAAACUAUGCAAACUCAGUGAUGCAUUGGCUUGUGGCCAAUGCAGUGCUGCAGGGAAGCCGUUAAGUUUGCCGCCUGGGAAGUACGUACGCAAGUAUGAAACUUAAAGGAAUUGGCGGGGGAGCACCACAAGGGGUGAAGCCUGCGGUUCAAUUG
rnacentral:rRNA from 1 species